UCGGACGUGGUGCACGGUGCACACCCGCUUGUUCUGCAUCUGAAUUUGCGUAGGAUGGGUUGUGGGAAACCUGGGUUCGACUCCCAGCGUCUGAA